GAUGAACGCUGGCGGCGUGCCUAAUACAUGCAAGUCGAGCGAACAGACGAGGAGCUUGCUCCUCUGACGUUAGCGGCGGACGGGUGAGUAACACGUGGAUAACAUACCUAUAAGACUGGGAUAACUUCGGGAAACCGGAGCUACUACCGGAUAAUAUAUUGAACCGCAUGGUUCAAUAGUGAAAGACGGUUUUGCUGUCACUUAUAGAUGGAUCCGCGCCGCAUUAGCUAGUUGGUAAGGUAACGGCUUACCAAGGCAACGAUGCGUAGCCGACCUGAGAGGGUGGUCGGCCACACUGGAACUGAGACACGGCCCAGACUCCUACGGGAGGCAGCAGUAGGGAAUCUUCCGCAAUGGGCGAAAGCUUGACGGAGCAACGCCGCGUGAGUGAUGAAGGUCUUCGGAUCGUAAAACUCUGUUAUUAGGGAAGAACAAAUGUGUAAGUAACUAUGCACGUCUUGACGGUACCUAAUCAGAAAGCCACGGCUAACUACGUG
rnacentral:rRNA from 1 species